GGAUGGGCUAUAAAUCCUCAGAAGGUGCGAGGUCCAGGCCUGUCCAUAAAAUUCCUGGGGAUAGUUUGGUCAGGUACCAAAGUACUACCCAGUGCUGUAAUAGGUAAGGUUCAGACAUUCCUAGUCUCUACAACACUAAAGCAGCUGCAGGAGCUUUCAGGUAUGUUGGGAUACUGGUGUUCUUUUAUACCUCAUUUAGCACAGCUGCUGAGGCAUUGUACAGACUCAUGAAAAAGGGGCAACUAUGGGACUAGGGGAGAAUGGAACAGGACGCUUUCCAUCAGGCAAACAGGCAAAACUGGCAGUUAAACGAGCCCAGGCAUUGGGUGUAUUUGAUCCUACCCUCCCAGUUGAGCUGGACAUUGACAUCGCUCAGGAUGGCUGUGGCAAUGCCAGAGUACUGUUCGGACCCCCAUUGGGUUCUGAUUUGGCAUGGAGCAGAAGAGAGAUACAGCAUGGUUGAAAAGCAGUUAUUGGCUACCUAUUCUGCAUUGCAGGCAGUAGAACCAAUAACUCAGACUGCAGAGGUUAUUGUCAAAACAACUUUACCAAUUCAGGGUUGGGUAAAAGACCUAACCCACAUUCCUAAGACCGGGGUGGCCCAAUCACAAACAGUAGCACGCUGGGUUGUCUAUCUUAGUCAGAGAAGCUGCCUGUCAUCAUCUCUACUGAAGGAAGAACUUCAAAAAGAUACUUGGUCCAGUAACAUAUCACAGUGAGACACCUGAGGAAAUAGUGGUUACUUGUCCAGAAAAGAGUCCUGUAAAGGAGGGGAAAUACCCUAUUCCAGAAGAUGCCUAGAAUACAGAUGGAUCCAGCAGAGGGAACCCAAGUAGGUGGCGAGCUGUUGCAUACGAUCCCUCAACUGAAGCAAUAUGGUUUGAAGAAGGGGAUGAACAAAGUAGUCAGUGGGCUGAGCUACGAGCUGUGUGGAUGGUGAUAACUCAAGAGCCUGGCAACAGUGCACUAAACAUCUGCACAGAUAGUUGGGCAGUCUGCCAAGGGCUCACACUCUGGAUAGCACAGUGGGCCACUCAGGAUUGGACAAUCCAUGCCCGACCUAUCUGGGGCAAAGAUAUGUGGGUUGAUAUAUGGAAUGUGGUUAUGCACAGAACCAUAUGAGCAUACCACAUCUCUGGACAUCAGCCCUUGCAGUCACCAGGCAAUGAUGAAGCUGACACACUGGCUUGAGUCUGAUGGUUGGGAAGUACAUCACCAGAAGACAUAGCCCACUGGCUGCUUCGGAAAUUAUGGCAUGCAGGACAGAAAACCAUGUGGGCAGCAGCUAAAGCAUGAGGGUUGCCCAUACAGUUACCAGAUAUUGUCCAGGCAUGUCAGGACUGUGAUGCUUGCUCGCGAAUGAGACCAAGACCUCUGCCGGAAACUAUGGCCCAUCUCGCUAGAGGACACAACCCAUUACAGCGAUGGUAGAUUGAUUAUAUAGGUCCCCUUCCUCAAUCUGAGGAGGCCAGAUAUGACCUAACUUGUGUUGAUACAGUGAGUGGACUGAUGCAAGCCUAUCCCGUAGCAAAGGCAAACCAAGCCUAUACCAUCAAAGCUCUAACUAGAUUGAUGGCAUCAUACAGGAAUCCUGAGGUUAUUGAGAGUGAUCAAGGUACACAUUUCACAGGUGCAACUGUGCAGAAGUGGGCUGAAGGCAAUAACACUGAAUGGCGGUUUCACCUGCCCUACAAUCCAACGGGAGCAGGCCUAAUAGAAAGAUACAAUGGGAUCCUGAAGGCUGCUCUGAAGGCAGAUUCACAGUCCUUGCAGGGGUGGACCAAGAGGCUUUAUGAAACCCAGCGAGACUUGAAUGAGAGACCAAGAGAUGGCAGACCCAGUGCUUUAAGAAUGUUGCAGACAACUUGGGCCUCCCCACUUAGGAUACAAAUUACAGGCAAGGACACCUCACUCAAGCCACAAAUUGGCACCAUGAAUAAUUUUCUGCUCCCUGCCCCUGAGGACCUAUAGCCCGGGAG
ensembl:lncRNA